AGGUCAGCACAGUAGUUUUCAGGAAAUACGUUUAGUUGGAACAAACAGAAGCUUGAGGUCUCUGAGCAAUUUAAAGACGAAGAUCUGGUCUGUGGCCUCAGUGGUUACUGAGGUAUAGCGAUUUGUGAUUUCACCAGGGUCAGAGGUCAAAACAGAGCUUUGUUUAUUGAGGUGGUAGCUCAGUGUGAUAAGGAGUUGGACUGCUAAUAUGUAGACUUGGAUUUGAUUCCUGUCACUGUGUUGCUGGCUUAGAAACUUGUAUAUUGCAAACAAUUUGACACUAAAAAUUAAUAUGGAAUGUCCAUGAAAGCACACAUGCACGGACAGAGAGAGAGAAGAACACAGUGCACUUUAUGUGUAUUAUUUAUUUAUUAUACAGGGGCCACACAGUGUCAUCACAUCUACAGUUUAAUAUUUGGAAAAUUAAGAAUAAGCUGUCCCAAAUGUGCCA